UACGGAAGGCAGCAGGGGGAAUAUUGCACAAUGGGCGAAAGCCUGAUGCAGCUAUGCCGCGUGUAUGAAGAAGGCCUUAGGGUUGUAAAGUACUUUCAUCGGGGAGGAAAAAACAAAACUAAUAAUUUUAUUUCUUGACGUUACCCGAAAAAGAAGCACCGGCUAACUCCGUGCCAGCAGCCGCGGUAAUACGGAGGGUGCUAGCGUUAAUCAGAAUUACUGGGCGUAAAGAGCACGUAGGUGGUUUUUUAAGUCAGAUGUGAAAUCCCUGGGCUUAACCUAGGAACUGCAUUUUGAAACUGAAAUACUAGAGUAUCGUAGAGGGAGGUAGAAUUCUAGGUGUAGCGGUGAAAUGCGUAGAUAUCUGGAGGAAUACCUGUGGCGAAAGCGGCCUCCUAAACGAAUACUGACACUGAGGGUGCGAAAGCGGUGGGGAGCAAACGAGGAUUAGAUACC
rnacentral:rRNA from 1 species